ACGAACGCUGGCGGCGUGCUUAACCCAUGCAAGUCGAACGGAAAGGCCUGCUUUCCCUUGUGGAUUGCGGGUACUCGAGUGGCGAACGGGUGAGUAACACGUGAGUGAUCUGCCCCCAACUUGGGUAUAAGCCUGGGAAACUGGGUCUAAUUCCCGAUAGGACUGCAGGGUGGUGCCUGUGGUGGAAAACGAUUUUCUAGUGGUUGGGGAUGAGCUCGCGGCCUAUCAGCUUGUUGGUGGGGUAAUGGCCUACCAAGGCGGCGACGGGUAGCCGGCCUGAGAGGGUGGACGGCCACAUUGGGACUGAGAUACGGCCCAGACUCCUACGGGAGGUAGCAGUGGGGAAUAUUGCACAAUGGGCGGAAGCCUGAUGCAGCGACGCCGCGUGGGGGAUGACGGCCUUCGGGUUGUAAACUCCUUUCGACCGCGAGGAAGCCACCUGGUUGGAAGGGUGGUGACGGUAGUGGUAGAAGAAGCACCGGCUAACUACGUG
rnacentral:rRNA from 1 species